GACGAACGCUGGCGCCGUGCUUAACACAUGCAAGUCGAACGGAAAGGCCCUGCUUUUGUGGGGUGCUCGAGUGGCGAACGGGUGAGUAACACGUGAGUAACCUGCCCUUGACUUUGGGAUAACUUCAGGAAACUGGGGCUAAUACCGGAUAGGAGCUCCUGCUGCAUGGUGGGGGUUGGAAAGUUUCGGCGGUUGGGGAUGGACUCGCGGCUUAUCAGCUUGUUGGUGGGGUAGUGGCUUACCAAGGCUUUGACGGGUAGCCGGCCUGAGAGGGUGACCGGCCACAUUGGGACUGAGAUACGGCCCAGACUCCUACGGGAGGCAGCAGUGGGGAAUAUUGCACAAUGGGCGGAAGCCUGAUGCAGCAACGCCGCGUGCGGGAUGACGGCCUUCGGGUUGUAAACCGCUUUCGCCUGUGACGAAGCGUGAGUGACGGUAAUGGGUAAAGAAGCACCGGCUAACUACGUG
rnacentral:rRNA from 1 species